GGAGGAUCCAAGCGUUAUCCGGAAUUAUUGGGUUUAAAGGGUCCGUAGGUGGAUAAUUAAGUCAGAGGUGAAAUCCUGCAGCUCAACUGUAGAAUUGCCUUUGAAACUGGUUAUCUUGAGUCAUUAUGAAGUAGUUAGAAUAUGUGGUGUAGCGGUGAAAUGCAUAGAUAUUACAUAGAAUACCAAUUGCGAAGGCAGAUUACUAAUAAUGUACUGACACUGAUGGACGAAAGCGUGGGGGUAGCGAACAGGAUUAGAUACCCUGGUAGUCCACGCCGUAAACGAUGGUCACUAGCUGUUUGAACUUCGGUUUGAGUGGCUAAGCGAAAGUGAUAAGUGACCCCACCUGGGAGUACGUUCGCAAGAAUG
rnacentral:rRNA from 1 species